GUGAUAACACAUUAGCUGUGGUGAAGCUGAGUGACAGAGACUUUCUGCGUAGUUUCGAAAAUGCUAUCCACUUUGAAAAGUCUUGAUUGCUGGAGAAUGUUGGGGAGGAGCCUAGACCAUGCUUUGUACCCUGUGCUCCUACGACAGUGGACUAGAGGAUCAGCUACAAGGGUGUCUCGUAGCUGAAGAGAGACCCGAUCUGGAAAGGGCAAAGAUCUAACUCAUUGCUAAAGUUACUGCUGCUGAGGCAACUGAGAGUGACAUUGAUGCCACAGGUCUGGAAUAUGUCCCAGUGGCUGUCAGAGCCCAGAUCCUCCUCUUCUGUGUGUCAGAUCUGUCAAAUGUGGACCCUAUGUACCAGUACUCUCUGGAGUGGUUCCUGGGGAUUUUCAUGAGUGGCAUUGCCAACUUAAAGAAAGCAGGUGAAAAUAUGCCCUUCUAUUAUUGUUAUUGUGGAUGUCAGGUUUAGAUACUCAUUUUAUAAGCGUAUCUGUGUGAACAGGGAGCC